rnacentral:tRNA from 1 species
AGCCCGGUGGUGUAGCGGCCAAGCAUCCGGGGCUUUGGACCCCGGGACCCCAGACACCGCGGGGACUUCGAAUCUGGGCCGGGCUACCA